rnacentral:lncRNA from 1 species
CUUUCUAAAAAAAUUUAUUGACAAUCACAAAUGGGGAGUUCCCGUCGUGGCGCAGUGGUUAACGAAUCCGACGAGGAACCAUGAGGUUGCGGGUUCGGACCCUGCCUUUGCUCAGUGGGUUAAGGAUCCGGCGUUGCCGUGAGCUGUGGUGUAGGUUGCAGACGCGGCUCGGAUCCCGCGUUGCUGUGGCUUUGGCGUAGGCUGGUGGCUACAGCUCCGAUUAGACCCCUACCACUGUAGAAGCAACGCCGAGUAGUUAUGUUGUGAGCCACACGGGAAGUC